CCGGGCUCGGGAUCCUCCUCUUCCUCCUCUCCUCGUCAACAGCCAACCCCUUAGGAACUCUGCUCUCCUGGGCCUUUGCCCUUCCUAGCUGCAGGCAACCAGGGAGAAGACCUCAGGGAGCCCCCGAAGUCGCCCGCUCGCUGUAACUGAGAGGCGGUCUGCACUCCGACCCUUUGCUCAGACAUCUCACCCUGGGGAAGGAAACCACUUGGCUGCCUGCACUGGUAUGUGGAUUGGUGACAAACAGCAGGGACGGCAUUUGGUCUGAAAAGAAAAAAUGAAAUUGGAUUUCAGGGGAUUAAAGUUAGUCACAUUUUUGUGGUUCUUUU
rnacentral:lncRNA from 1 species